CUGGCGUAUUAAGGCAUCCGUGCUGAGCAGCACACGGGAAGGCCCAGAAAAACUGGGGCCAAGUCUGGGCUUGUAAAUCCAUCAGAGGGAGAGGUAUAGAUCAGAUGGAUAGUUGGACUGGAAAGGGGCCGGAGGAAUGGAGCAAUGUAUUCCUGUUUCAGGGACUAAAAAUGCAAGGUGGGAACCACUGGUGAACACACCCGUUUGGAAGUUGGGCUGGGUCCCUGCAACCUCAUCAGCUAAGCCAAGGUAGCCUGGUUACUGCUCACUGAAGGCCCAAUGCUCACCUGGCCCAUCACUUCUGAGUGCACACGCACACCUGUGUUCCAUGGUGGAGCUGGCGAAUCCAUCCCAAGGGGGUUAAGCUUUUAUGCCAGUUGUGCUUGUUAUUGUGAUGACAUAAAUGCAUUAAAUAUUACAUGAACCAAUGAAAUGGGAGUGCAAGACCAAGGAGGUGAAUGCUUUGGAAGUCUCAGUAUAGGGAAUAUUCUAAAGAAAAGGUACCGUCAUAUUAGAAUGGAGCAAAAUAACUACAAAAGACCAUGAAAAUGGUCAAUAUCUGGGUAUAUUCAGCAUUCACACUGCUUUGCACAUGCACGGAAGUUCUCACUCACAUGGAAGAGAAGUAGAAAUUGUAAGUGAGAUGUUAUGAGUUUCAUUCAUGUAAGAAUGAUUACCAGCUGGGCGCAGUGGCUCACGCCUGUAAUCCCAGUACUUUGGGAGGCC
rnacentral:lncRNA from 1 species